CACCUCCCCCUUCACUCUCUCUGUCUUUCCCGCUCCCCCAUAGCCAGAUGUGCCUGCUUCCCCUUCGCCUUCUGCAUGAUUAUCAGUUUCCUGAGGCCUCCCCAGCCAUGCUUCCUGUACAGCCUGCAGAACUGUCCACACUCGAGAUGGAUUGCACUGCUUUUCACCAGACUCUGGAUGUCUCGCAACCUCCCAGAGCCGGAGACAGAUGUUGCUGUUUGCUCUGCCACCUGCAAUCCAGGAAGAGAGGCCUCAACAGAUACCAAUUCUGAUGGUGCCUGGGUCUUGGACUUCCAGCCUCCAGAACUGUGAAAAAAGAAAUUUCUGCUAUUUAAGCCACCUAGUUAUGGUAUUUUGUUAUGGUAGCCCAAGACCUCCCUCCCCACCACCACCAACAAACACAUAUGUUUCCUUUAUAAAUAUAAAUAUGGAGAGAAAUUUGACCAGAUGCAGUGGCUCACACUUGUAAUCACAGCACUUUGGGAGGCCGAGGCAGGUGGAUCACAUGAGGUCAGCAUUUCGAGACCAGCCUGGCCAUAAUAGUAAAACCCCAUCUCUACUAAAAAUACAACAAUUCACCAGUCAUGGUGGUGGGUGCCUGUAUUUCCACCUACUCGGGAGGCUGAGGCAGGAGAAUCGCUUGAACCUGGGAGGUGGAGGUUGCAGUUAGCCGAGAUCGAGCCACGGCACUACAGCCUGAGCAUCAGAGUGAGACUCCAACCCAAAAAUAAAUAAAGAGGGAUAUUU